UUACUUAAAACCCGUACCGGUACCGCAAUUUCAGGUUUAAAAGGGAAGCACGGUGUAAUUCCGUCACGGUCCCGCCGCUGUAAGAGUUCAAUCUUUUUAAAAAUAUGUCACUGAGAAAUCGGGAAGGCUUUAAAAAGGUGUUAAAGCUCGAAGUCAGAAGACCUGCCGGUAUGCGGAAUUAUAC
rnacentral:ncRNA from 2 species